AAAGGGAGACCUAAUUCGGGUAUAAGACGAAAAAAAAGUAGUCCCUACCAAGAAUCAAUCCCAAAAGGUCGGAACGAGGUAUGAGGCUUUCAAACUAGGUUCUGGGUUCAUAAAAGACCUGAAUCAGGAACAAGGGCUAUUAGCUCAGGUGGUUAGAGCGCACCCCUGAUAAGGGUGAGGUCCCUGGUUCGAGUCCAGGAUGGCCCACCUGCACAGGUGGCAAAAACAAGAGAAGCGAGGAAUCAGCACCUUAUCUUAUAUACAUAUAUAAGAGAGAAUGCUGGCUCUGAGUACAGAGUCCAGAGGAACCUUGAAAACUGCAUAGAGCUAGGUGAAAAAGCUAAAAAAGAAGACCGCAAG
rnacentral:tRNA from 1 species